rnacentral:rRNA from 1 species
UAUGGGGGGAGCAAGCGUUGUUCGGAUUUACUGGGCGUAAAGGGCGCGUAGGCGGUAGCACAAGUCAGUUGUGAAAUCUCCGGGCUUAACUCGGAAAGGUCAACUGAUACUGUGCGACUAGAGUGCAGAAGGGGCAACUGGAAUUCUCGGUGUAGCGGUGAAAUGCGUAGAUAUCGAGAGGAACACCUGCGGCGAAGGCGGGUUGCUGGGCUGACACUGACGCUGAGGUGCGAAAGCCAGGGGAGCGAACGGG